GCGGAUGUGGCGGAACUGGCAGACGCGCUAGACUUAGGAUCUAGUGGGAUAACCGUGCAGGUUCGAUUCCUGUCAUCCGCA
rnacentral:tRNA from 1 species